UCAAAUUUGAGUCCUAGGUUAACAGAGCAAACCGGGGGAACUGAAACAUCUAAGUACCCCGAGGAGAAGAAAUCAACCGAGAUUCCGGUAGUAGCGGCGAGCGAACCUGGAUUAGCCCUUAAGCACUCGGUGAAGUAGGUGAACAAGCUGGAAAGCUUGGCGAUACAGGGUGAUAGCCCCGUAACCGACGCUUCAUCGAGCGUGAAAUCGAGUAGGGCGGGACACGUGAUAUCCUGUCUGAAUAUGGGGGGACCAUCCUCCAAGGCUAAAUACUCCUGACUGACCGAUAGUGAACCAGUACCGUGAGGGAAAGGCGAAAAGAACCCCUGUGAGGGGAGUGAAAUAGAACCUGAAACCGUGUACGUACAAGCAGUAGGAGCACCUUCGUGGUGUGACUGCGUACCUUUUGUAUAAUGGGUCAGCGACUUAUAUUCAGUGGCAAGGUUAACCGUAUAGGGGAGCCGUAGCGAAAGCGAGUCUUAACUGGGCGCUCAGUCUCUGGAUAUAGACCCGAAACCGGGUGAUCUAGCCAUGGGCAGGUUGAAGGUUGAGUAACAUCAACUGGAGGACCGAACCGACUAAUGUUGAAAAAUUAGCGGAUGACUUGUGGCUAGGGGUGAAAGGCCAAUCAAACUCGGAGAUAGCUGGUUCUCCCCGAAAGCUAUUUAGGUAGCGCCUCGGACGAAUACUACUGGGGGUAGAGCACUGUUAAGGCUAGGGGGUCAUCCCGACUUACCAACCCUUUGCAAACUCCGAAUACCAGUAAGUACUAUCCGGGAGACACACGGCGGGUGCUAACGUCCGUCGUGGAGAGGGAAACAACCCAGACCGCCAGCUAAGGUCCCAAAGUAUUGCUAAGUGGGAAACGAUGUGGGAAGGCUCAGACAGCUAGGAUGUUGGCUUAGAAGCAGCCAUCAUUUAAAGAAAGCGUAAUAGCUCACUAGUCGAGUCGGCCUGCGCGGAAGAUGUAACGGGGCUAAGCAAUACACCGAAGCUGCGGCAAUAUCUUUUAGAUAUUGGGUAGGGGAGCGUUCUGUAAGCCGUUGAAGGUGAAUCGUAAGGUUUGCUGGAGGUAUCAGAAGUGCGAAUGCUGACAUGAGUAACGACAAAGGGGGUGAAAAACCUCCUCGCCGGAAGACCAAGGGUUCCUGUCCAACGUUAAUCGGGGCAGGGUGAGUCGACCCCUAAGGUGAGGCCGAAAGGCGUAAUCGAUGGGAAACGGGUUAAUAUUCCCGUACUUCUGACUAUUGCGAUGGGGGGACGGAGAAGGCUAGGUGGGCCAGGCGACGGUUGUCCUGGUUCAAGUGCGUAGGCUUGAGAGUUAGGUAAAUCCGGCUCUCUCUAAGGCUGAGACACGACGUCGAGCUGCUACGGCAGUGAAGUCAUUGAUGCCAUGCUUCCAGGAAAAGCCUCUAAGCUUCAGAUAGUCAGGAAUCGUACCCCAAACCGACACAGGUGGUCGGGUAGAGAAUACCAAGGCGCUUGAGAGAACUCGGGUGAAGGAACUAGGCAAAAUGGUACCGUAACUUCGGGAGAAGGUACGCUCUUGAUGGUGAAGUCCCUCGCGGAUGGAGCUGACGAGAGUCGCAGAUACCAGGUGGCUGCAACUGUUUAUUAAAAACACAGCACUGUGCAAAAUCGCAAGAUGACGUAUACGGUGUGACGCCUGCCCGGUGCCGGAAGGUUAAUUGAUGGGGUUAGCGCAAGCGAAGCUCUUGAUCGAAGCCCCGGUAAACGGCGGCCGUAACUAUAACGGUCCUAAGGUAGCGAAAUUCCUUGUCGGGUAAGUUCCGACCUGCACGAAUGGCGUAAUGAUGGCCACGCUGUCUCCACCCGAGACUCAGUGAAAUUGAAAUCGCUGUGAAGAUGCAGUGUACCCGCGGCUAGACGGAAAGACCCCGUGAACCUUUACUACAGCUUGGCACUGAACAUUGAACCUACAUGUGUAGGAUAGGUGGGAGGCUAUGAAAACGUGACGCCAGUUGCGUUGGAGCCGUCCUUGAAAUACCACCCUUGUAUGUUUGAUGUUCUAACUUAGACCCGUUAUCCGGGUUGAGGACAGUGCCUGGUGGGUAGUUUGACUGGGGCGGUCUCCUCCCAAAGAGUAACGGAGGAGCACGAAGGUGGGCUAAUCACGGUUGGACAUCGUGAGGUUAGUGCAAUGGCAUAAGCCCGCUUAACUGCGAGAAUGACGGUUCGAGCAGGUGCGAAAGCAGGUCAUAGUGAUCCGGUGGUUCUGUAUGGAAGGGCCAUCGCUCAACGGAUAAAAGGUACUCCGGGGAUAACAGGCUGAUACCGCCCAAGAGUUCAUAUCGACGGCGGUGUUUGGCACCUCGAUGUCGGCUCAUCACAUCCUGGGGCUGAAGUCGGUCCCAAGGGUAUGGCUGUUCGCCAUUUAAAGUGGUACGCGAGCUGGGUUUAGAACGUCGUGAGACAGUUCGGUCCCUAUCUGCCGUGGGCGUUGGAAGAUUGAAGGGGGCUGCUCCUAGUACGAGAGGACCGGAGUGGACGAACCUCUGGUGUUCGGGUUGUGUCGCCAGACGCAUUGCCCGGUAGCUAAGUUCGGAAUUGAUAAGCGCUGAAAGCAUCUAAGCGCGAAGCGAGCCCUGAGAUGAGUCUUCCCUGAUACUUUAAGUAUCCUAAAGGGUUGUUCGAGACUAGAACGUUGAUAGGCAGGGUGUGUAAGCGUUGUGAGGCGUUGAGCUAACCUGUACUAAUUGCCCGUGAGGCUUAACCA
rnacentral:rRNA from 1 species